rnacentral:rRNA from 1 species
AUGAACGCUGGCGGCGUGCCUAAUACAUGCAAGGCGAGCGAACAGACGCGGAGCUUGCUCCUCUGACGUUAGCGGCGGACGGGUGAGUAACACGUGGAUAACCUACCUAUAAGACUGGGAUAACUUCGGGAAACCGGAGCUAAUACCGGAUAAUAUAUUGAACCGCAUGGUUCAAUAGUGAAAGACGGUUUUGCUGUCACGUAUAGAUGGAUCCGCGCCGCAUUAGCUAGUUGGUAAGGUAACGGCUUACCAAGGCAACGAUGCGUAGCCGACCUGAGAGGGUGGUCGGCCACACUGGAACUGAGACACGGUCCAGACUCCUACGGUAGGCAGCAGUAGGGAAUCUUCCGCAAAGGGCGAAAGCCUGACGGAGCAACGCCGCGUGAGUGAUGAAGGUCUUCGGAUCGUAAAACUCUGUUAUUAGUGAAGAACAAAUGUGUAAGUAACUAUGCACGUCUUGACGGUACCUAAUCAGAAAGCCACGGCUAACUACGUG